GGUGUGACUAAAAGGAGAGCAAAUUGAAAAAAAUAUUAGGAUAAAGAAGCCAAUCGAUUUCGGUAAGAGGGAGGAGAAUUAUUGUAAAAAAUAUUGAAAUACAAAAACAAAGAAUCGAAUAGAUUUUUGGAAGGUGAUUUGUUGGGUUUUUUUUCACUUCGAGUUUUCUUUUUUUCUUUUUUCCCUUGUUUUUAUCUCUAUCUCAUUUUUUAAAAGAAUAACAAAGAAAGAAAAGGGCGCUUACCUGGGUUCGGGCGCUGGUUUCAAGCGCCGUGUGCGGUGGCUCCACGGCGGCGGGGGCAUGAAAGGGGCUAAGGUCGAACCCUAGCAGAGAGUCACCCGUCCUUUUUUUUUCCCUCUCUGCUGCUUCUAAAAAAAUGAAAUGAAAAUGUUUGUUUUUUGAAAGAAAUUUUGGUUUUAGCAUUAAGGAGAACGGUGCCAUUUAAUGGCUAUGGAUCUGCGUGUUUUCGCCCUUGAUGGGCUAUUUGCGCGUUGGGUCCUCAGUUUUUA
rnacentral:lncRNA from 1 species